rnacentral:rRNA from 1 species
UAGUCAUAUGCUUGUCUCAAAGAUUAAGCCAUGCAUGUCUAAGUACAAGCCUCACUAAGGUGAAACCGCGAAUGGCUCAUUAAAUCACACCUAAUCUACUGGAUAGUUAACAGUUACUUGGAUAACUGCGGUAAUUCUGGAGCUAAUACAUGCACAAAGCCCCGAACUUACGUGAGGGGCGCUUUUAUUAGAUCAAAACCAAACGGCUUCGGCUGUAUCCUUGGUGACUCUGAAUAACUUUGGGCUGAUCGCAUGGCCUAGCGCCGGCGACAUAUCCUUCGAAGGUGUGCCCUAUCAACUGUCGACUGUGGCAUAGACGCCCACAGUGGUUUUGACGGGUAACGGGGAAUCAGGGUUCGAUUCCGGAGAGGGAGCCUUAAAAACGGCUACCACAUCUAAGGAAGGCAGCAGGCACGCAAAUUACCCAAUGACCGAAGGUCGAGGUAGUGACAAAAAAUAACGAUACGGGACUCAUCUGAGGCCCCGUAAUCGGAAUGAGUACACUUUAAAACCGCCCCCGAGGAUCUAUU